ACUUCCCUGAAACACACAAUGUAACGCAGAGUUUCCCAACCUUUAUUGUGCCAAGGCAUUAGAACAAGAAUGUCAUGAAAAUGUUUUUACUGAACACUGAAAUAAUGAUGAUCUGACAAAUUUACUUGAUCAGUGUGUAAUCUUGCCCUCUUUACUUAACUUUAUUUAUAGUGUUAUUUAUAUAUUUAUAGUCCUGCACAUAAAUAAUUAUCAUAAGUAAAACAAUUUAAACAUUAAGUUAAAAAUAAUUGAGUGAGAAUCAAAAUUACACAAAUCAAAUUUUUGUAUACAGUGACCCACAGGAAAUUAUUCAAUUUCAUAUAAUUGGUCACAUUUCUUUUUAUUUAUUUAAUACAAAUAACUUAUUUGGUUCAUUAGGGCGGGGUAUGGUUAAGAACCACACGAUUCAAUUCAAUUUCGAUUCUUUAGUUUGUGAUGCAAUUCGUUGUGAUUUGAUUCAUUUUGAUUUAAAUACUUUGAUGUCGAGUCAGUAAGAAGUAGAAACACACAAAUAGACCUUACUUUUGUCUAUAACCUGUGUUCCGGAAUUACACAGGAAUCCAAAUUAACCCGAAACGUCAGAUAAAAGAUCACUGUGGCUGAGCUCCAGAGAUGCAGUCGGGAGAUGAGAGAAAGUUCUAGAAAGUCAACCAUCAUUGCAGCCCUCUACCAGUCGGGGCUUUAUAGCAGCGAAGGCUCUCCUAAGUACAAGACACAUGAAAGCCUGCGUGGAGUUGGUUAAAAAAAUUCCUGAAAGAUGAAAACCAGGCACUGCUCAUCACCUGUCCAAUACAGUCCCAACAGCGAAGCAUAGUAGUGGCAGCAUCAUGCUGUGGGGGUGUUUUUCAUCUGCAGGGACAGGAAGACUUGUUGCAAUCGAAGGAAAGAUGAAUGUAGGCAAGUACAGGGAUAUCUUGGACGAAAACCUUCUCCAGAGUGCUCAGGACCUCAGACUGGGCCGAAGGUUUACCUUCCAACAAGACAAUGACCCAAAGCACACAGCUAAAAUAACGAAGGAGUGGCUUCAGAACAACUCCGUGGCUGUUUUUGAAUGGCCCAGCCAGAGCCCUGACUUAAACCCAAUUGAGCAUCUCCUGAAAAGACCUGAAAAUGGCUGCCCGCCAACGGUCACCAUCCAACCUGACAGAACUGGAAAGGAUCUGCAAGGCGGAAUUGGCAGACGAUCCCCAAAUCCAGGUGUGAAAAACUUGUUGCAUCAUUCCCAAAAAGACUUGGGAUUGUAUUAGCUCAAAAGGGUGCUUCUACUACAUACUGAGCGAAGGGUCUGAAUACUUAUGGCUGUGUGAUAUUUCAGUUCUUCUUUUUUAAUAAAUCUGAAACAAUUUCAACAAUUCCGUUUUUUUUCUGUCAAUAUGGGGUGCUGUGUGUACAUUAAUGAAGAAAAAGAUUAACUUAAAUGAUUUUAGCAAAUGGCUGCAAUACAACAAAGAGUGAAAAAAUUAAGGGGGUCUGAAUACUUUCCGUACCCACUGUAUAUGUGUGUGUCUGCGUGUGUGUGUGAUUAAUAAAUGGUGAUUUUCGAUCAAAUUAAGUGAAAUAGGAUAAUUUCCCAUAGCCCCCUUGAUGAUCUCUCAAGAACCUUGAUAAAGAAUCACUACUGUAGUCUUUUAAUAAAUCAUACCGGACUGUAGUUAAGACACCGCGACCCUAGUGAGGAGAAGCGGCUCAGAAAAUGGAUGGAUGGAUAGUUAAGACAAGAAAAAUCAAAAAUCAAAAGUCAAGAACUUUAUGAUGCCAAUAGGGGGCAGCAAAGUACUGUAUAAUAAUUUGCCUGUGUUCUAAUAAAGACAGUGAAAAAUAA